rnacentral:rRNA from 1 species
UACGUAGGGGGCAAGCGUUGUCCGGAAUCAUUGGGCGUAAAGCGCGUGUAGGCGGUCCGGUAAGUCCGCUGUGAAAGUCGGGGGCUCAACCCUCGGAUGCCGGUGGAUACUGUCGGGCUUGAGUAUGGAAGAGGCGAGUGGAAUUCCUGGUGUAGCGGUGAAAUGCGCAGAUAUCAGGAGGAACACCAAUUGCGAAGGCAGCUCGCUGGGACGUUACUGACGCUGAGGAGCGAAAGCGUGGGGAGCGAACAGG